CCCACUGUACCUCUCAUGACAAUCCUCCCUUCCGGGUUCUAAAGGGAAUAUGUUCCAUGAAGAAAUGAAGACACAGUUCAAAGAAUCUAUACUCCAUCCAAUCCAGGCUUCUUCAGCAAUUGUGGAGUUUAGAAGGAUGUAAAUUCUGUGUGCAGCCCAUUACUGACCUAAGGCUGGUGAUUAGCAACUCUAGAGGUAAACCAGCCCCCUUGCUUAUGACUUAUUCAGAAACUCAAG
rnacentral:lncRNA from 1 species